CGUCCGUCGUGGAGAGGGAAACAACCCAGACCGCCAGCUAAGGUCCCAAAUUAUAGCUAAGUGGGAAACGAUGUGGGAAGGCUUAGACAGCUAGGAUGUUGGCUUAGAAGCAGCCAUCAUUUAAAGAAAGCGUAAUAGCUCACUAGUCGAGUCGGCCUGCGCGGAAGAUGUAACGGGGCUAAGCUAUAAACCGAAGCUGCGGCAAUGAAGUUUACUUCAUUGGGUAGGGGAGCGUUCUGUAAGCCGUUGAAGGUGUGUUGUAAAGCAUGCU
rnacentral:rRNA from 1 species